UACGGGGGGGGCAAGCGUUGUUCGGAAUUACUGGGCGUAAAGGGCUCGUAGGUGGCCAACUAAGUCAGACGUGAAAUCCCUCGGCUUAACCGGGGAACUGCAUCUGAUACUGGAUGGCUUGAGUUCGGGAGAGGGAUGCGGAAUUCCAGGUGUAGCGGUGAAAUGCGUAGAUAUCUGGAGGAACACCGGUGGCGAAGGCGGCAUCCUGGACCGACACUGACGCUGAGGUGCGAAAGCGUGGGGAGCAAACAGG
rnacentral:rRNA from 1 species